CCAGGGGGUCUCCCGGGGCCCCGGGGCUGAACCUGCUGCUGCGCCGGACGGCCGAACCAUCAACCUGGGGGGCAAGAGCUCAGUGGCCGUGGAACCGGGGGACGUUUUCCGCCUCCUGACCCCCGGCGGGGGCGGCUUCGGCCCCCCCGAGGAGGGGGCUGGGGGGGAUCCCCCGGGCCCCCGGGACCCCCAGGACCUGUGGGUGCCCCCGGUGCCCCCCGUGCCCCCCAAGACCCCCCAGACCCCCCAGACCCCACAGACCUUCGCCGAGCGCGGCAGCGUCUUCGAGUACCGGCGGGCGCAGGAGGCCGUGUGAGGGACCCCGCUGUGGGGCAGCCCCCAACCCCCGUGGGGCAGCCCCCCAACCCCAGCCAUGCACAGACUAUAGGGCAGCCCCCCCACCCCAUGGGCAGCCCCCCAACCCCAGCCAUGCACAGUCUAUAGGGCAGCCCCCCACCCCAUGGGGCAGCCCCCCAGCCCCAGCCAUGCACAGACUAUAGGGCAGCCCCCCAACCCCAGCCAUGCUCAAUCUAUAGGGCAGCCCCCGAGCCUGCUGUGGGGCAGCCCCCCAACCCCAGCCAUGCACAGUCUAUAGGGCAGCCCCCCACUCAUAGGGCAGCCCCCCAACCCCAGCCAUGCACAGUCUAUAGGGCAGCCCCCCCAACCCCUCUAUAGGGCAGCCCCCCAGCCCCAGCCAUGCACAGUCUAUAGGGCAGCCCCCCCACUCCAUGGGGCAGCCCCCCAACCCCAGCCAUGCACGGUCUAUAGGGCAGCCCCCAACCCCUCUAUAGGGCAGCCCCCCAACCCCAGCCAUGCACAGACUAUAGGGCAGCCCCCGACCCCCUGUGGGGCAGCCCCCCAGCCCCAGCCAUGCACAGUCUAUAGGGCAGCCCCCUGACCCCCUGUGGGGCAGCCCCCCAACCCCAGCCAUGCACAGUCUAUAGGGCAGCCCCCCCACCCCAUGGGCAGCCCCCAACCCCCGUGGGGCAGCCCCCCAGCCCCCGUGGGGCAGCCCCCCAGCCCCAGCCAUACACAGUCUAUAGGGCAGCCCCCCAACCCCCUGUGGGCAGCCCCCUCAACCCCAGCCAUGCUCAAUCUAUAGGGCAGCCCCCGAGCCUGCUGUGGGGCAGCCCCCCAACCCCAGCCAUGCACAGUCUAUAGGGCAGGCCCCCCAACCCCUCUAUUAGGGCAGCCCCCCAACCCCAGCCAUGCACAGACUAUAGGGCAGCCCCCCAACCCCAGCCAUGCUCAGUCUAUAGGGCAGCCCCCAACCCCCCUGUGGGGCAGCCCCCCAACCCCAGCCAUGCACAGACUAUAGGGCAGCCCCCCAACCCCUGUGGGGCAGCCCCGCAGCCCCAGCCAUGCACAGUCUAUAGGGCAGCCCCCCACCCCAUGGGGCAGCCCCCCAAUCCCAGAUAUGCACAGUCUAUAGGGCAGCCCCCCACCCCAUGGGGCAGCCCCCUAACCCCAGCCAUGCACAGUCUAUAGGGCAGCCCCCCGACCCCUCUAUAGGGCAGCCCCCCCAACCCCAGCCAUGCACGGUCUAUAGGGCAGCCCCCCAACCCCUCUAUAGGGCAGCCCCCCAGCCCCAGCCAUGCACAGUCUAUAGGGCAGCCCCCCACACCCCAUGGGGCAGCCCCCCAAUCCCAGAUAUGCACAGUCUAUAGGGCAGCCCCCUGACCCCUCUAUAGGGCAGCCCCCCAACCCCAGCCAUGCACAGUCUAUAGGGCAGCCCCCUGACCACCUCCAUGCACGGUCUAUAGGGCAGCCCCCCAACCCCUCUAUAGGGCAGCCCCCCAGCCCCAGCCAUGCACAGUCUAUAGGGCAGCCCCCCACCCCAUGGGGCAGCCCCCCAACCCCAGCCAUGCUCAGUCUAUAGGGCAGCCCCUCCAACCCCCUGUGGGGCAGCCCCCCAACCCCAGCCGUGCUCAGUCUAUAGGGCAGCCCCCCAACCCCAGCCAUGCACAGUCUAUAGGGCAGCCCCCCGCCCCAUGGGGCAGCCCCCCAAUCCCAGAUAUGCACAGUCUAUAGGGCAGCCCCCCACUCCAUGGGGCAGCCCCCAACCCCAGCCAUGCACAGUCUAUAGGGCAGCCCCCUGACCCCCUGUGGGGCAGCCCCCCAACCCCAGCCAUGCACAGUCUAUAGGGCAGCCCCCCAACCCCUCUAUAGGGCAGCCCCCCAACCCCAGCCAUGCACAGUCUAUAGGGCAGCCCCCCAACCCCCAUGGGGCAGCCCAGCCCUAGGUACGCACACCCCGUGGGGCAGCCCCCCAGCCCCCCCUGUAGCACAGCCCCCCCCAGACACGCACAGUCCAUGGGGCAGCCCCCCACCCCCUCCAUGGGGCAGCCCCCCCUCUAGAUACGCACAGUCUGUGGGGCAGCCCCCCCAACCCCGCUAUGGGGCAGCCCCCCAGGCCCCCCCCCA